rnacentral:rRNA from 1 species
UACGAGGGGGGCGAGCGUUGUUCGGAAUUAUUGGGCGUAAAGGGUGCGUAGGCGGUUUGGUAAGUCUUAUGUGAAAUCUAUGGGCUCAACUCAUAGUCUGCAUGAGAAACUGCCGGGCUUGAGUAUGGGAGAGGUGAGUGGAACUGCGAGUGUAGAGGUGAAAUUCGUAGAUAUUCGCAAGAACACCAGUGGCGAAGGCGGCUCACUGGCCCGAUACUGACGCUGAGGCACGAAAGCGUGGGGAGCAAACAGG